GGCUCCAUUCCCACGAUCGCUCCACGAUCUUUAAGCGGAACUCACACACGCACGUAUUCCGUCCACCUCCUCCCCCAACCUCUGUAGCGGAAGGUUCAAAAAAAAAACCCUCUGUAGCGGCAGGCUUCUUCUCCCCGGAUUCCCUUCUUCCCUCCUGCUGCGCGGCGGCGAUGCGGUCGAACUCGUCGGAGAGAUUCCUGACGCGCUUCCACCGCCGCUCCAUGGCCUCCGCCCUGAUGCAUCCUCCGCGCCCAGCCGCCGCCUCGCGUUCCUCCGCGCCCGUCCGUCGCCGACGAGGCGGAGGAGCCAGGCGAAGGGAAAAUCCCUCCAGGGUCGGCGCAGUAGGCGAGCGCCGCGUAGGCGUCGGCGGCGCUGAUGAGGACGACCCCCGACCUUACCCAUCCCGCCCGCAGAAGGCCUUGGGGAGGAAGACGAAGACGACACUGUCGAGGAGGAUUGGGAGCAGGGAGCCCGUCUUGAGCUGCAUUGCCGCAGCCACGUCGUGGCAGGUGCCUCCCUACCCGGGCGCUCUCCCCCGCUCCGGCGCCGCAAUCCAGCCCGAAUCAGCGCCUUCCUUCGUUGUCGAUCUGCGGCCCCUUCAUGCGCGUGGUGCGCCCGACGCGCCGCCUCCACACGCUGCACUGGUAUGUGUCCGACAGGCCCAUACGGAAUUUUGAAUUUAUCUGUGCGAUUGGUUCAUAGUAAUAUUCUGCUUCGUCCAUGUUGCAAAGAUAGUUUAUUGUAUAGUUCUUCCCAUGUUCAAUACCGAUGGCUCCUACUAUCUCUUUUUUUGUUUUGUGGAAGGACCUCAGCAAUUGAAAGUACACCCACAGAUACAAGGCACCCCACACAGUGUGAAUGAUUUACUAAAGUUCUAAGCUAUCCAAGGCGGUGGAUUUUUUCUGUACAUGGUUCAAAACGAAGAAUGUACUGACAUAUAAUUGCAAAACUUACAUCACUGAAUGAUAUAAGAAAAAACAGAUAUGCAAUGCAUAGGAACACUGAUGUGGGUUUUAGAUAUGGAGUAAGCACACCCCCUGAAAGAAUCACUUAGGAACACUCAUGUGGGUUUUAGAUAUGGAGUAAGCAGAUCCUCUGAAAGAAUCACUUUUCUGAACAAUGCAAUUUCCUCCCAUUAUGCCAAUAGAAGGAAGAGAGUUAAACUCAUCCACACAUAUCUUUUGGGAAUAUCGUUAUGCUAUGUCCAGUGAUAUACCAUGUAUACAUAUAUAAAAGGUUAAAAGUGAAAAUUGUCUAGCAAAAGAAACCAUGCCCAGGAGCUACAUAGAUUUUGGCCAAAUAUAUUUUGAAGAACUGAGUUGGAAUACUAGGGAGAGCAGGCCCGGGACAUUGUUCUUUACAGUUGAUUUUCUUCAUCAAAUUUGGUAGCCCCAAGAUGCACCAGGAGUAGGCACAAGGAGGCGGACGGGGGCAGUUAAUUUACUAUGUGUUAGUUGUUAAAUAUAUGUCCAAAUGUUGAUACUCCUACUUGCACGUCGUAUGAUAUUUUUUUUUGAAAUGCUUUGUAUGUUAAAUGAACCAUGGCGAUGUUUUUGUUUAGUUGCCUCUGAUGUACAUGCUUUUAUUUUCUCUUUUUCUCAUAAUUCCUAGAUUUAGGAAAAGAUAUGGGUGAAUGAUCUAUAGGAUUUAAUAGCCCGUACUCCCUUGCUGUCCAUCUGCAACUCAAGUUCAUGCUCUAGUAGAGCGAGGCUGCGGUCAUACGAGGACAUCAUCAAGAAGAUCUUCGAUAGGUGCAGCCAACUGAUUGAUGUUGGUGUGGAUGGCUUGUAGGUCGAGUCAUUCUCGGUUUUCUACUGCUAUACCUCGCAUCAAGAAGAUCUUCGGUGGGUUUCAUAAUCGUGAUAUGGGAGAUUAGAUCCUCCCGUCAUGCGGGCUCCUGUGAGCCGUUGGAUAUGAGAUUAAGAGGGAUUGAAGGGAGAAAAGGGCGGUUUGAUAUGCCUUUUUCGAAGCCGACGCUGGAUACACCUUUAGAGCGCAUGAAGAUGAUCCAGCUGCGUCAUGUAAAUUUUUGAUACAUCUGCAUCAUAUGUGAAUUUCUUAUUAAUUUCCGCAUGGGUUAGUUUGCUGCAAAAGGUUGUAUUUUGAUUUGAACUAUGAAUUUUGUUUUUGGUUCAUGCUGUGGGAACGACGAUGGAUGGAUGUAAAUCCUUUGGAAAAUCAGACAACAGUUAGAUAUGAAGCAUAUCCAUCUUAUUACUACUUGACAUGUAAAACUUGUGUACAAGAAAAAUCUUUGGAAACUCAGGCGACAGUUAGCUAUGAA